rnacentral:misc_RNA from 1 species
CAAGAGAGAGAGAGAGCUAACGGAACGCAUAAAAAUUUAACCUUUCUUCUUCUUCUUCCUCCCAAAAAAGAUCGUUCGUUGGCUACCUUUGCUUUCAAGUUUCUUUCGCCAAUGUCCAAGAUGAAGUACGAUCGUAAGCCUCCACUCGCUAAAUCGCCGAUCCGGCUACGUCCCCGCCGAGUCCUCCGACCCAACACAAACUUUGUUCAAACUCCUCCAGGUUCUUUAGCUAAAUCCCAAAAGCCAAAUCCCACAAGGGACAUGGAAGGAUCGGAUCUCUGCACCGAGUACCGCACCAUAUCCUGGGAAUUACAGGCUCUAGCGAGAAAGGUUCAAGACGAGUUUGGAAAUGGAAAUUCAACUAGUGCUGGGAUAAGUGCUAGUGCUAACUCAAGUACCCUUUUUGAGAGAGGAAGGUUUUAUGAGAUGUACUCAGCGAGGAGAAACGAGAGGCUGAAAAGAAAGAAAGGGGAGACAGGGGAAGGGGGAAAGACAAGCUACAAUCUUGGAAUUACAGUUGAGUCUUCAAAGAAAAGAGAUUCAAAGAAGUUGGAAAGCUUGAGGAAAUCGAUUUCUGCUGCUUUUUCUGUGGAGAGAAGUGAGAAUCCCAGGUACUCCUUGAGAAGCUUGAGCAAAGAGAACAAGAAGCGUCCUCUGGUUAUCAACUAUGAGAAAUCUUUGCUUGCAAGUGAAAGGAAAGUAGGGGCUAGAAGGGUUAGGAAAAUCUGAAUGCUGGAAAGUUGGGGUUUUUUUUUUAUUAUUAUUUUUUUCUUUUAUGGAUUUGCCAUUUUCUUUUAUGGAUUUGCCAUUUUCUUUGGGAUUAGGAAUUUGUUAAUGCUUUCAAGACUUCAAGUGAAUGUUUGAAAUCUAAUGAUCUCUGGAAAUAGGUUGCAAUUUUGGAGUCCAUAGUCUGAAGAAGGUCUCAUUUUACCUAUAAAUCAAAUUCGGAUUUAAUUCACUAA